UGAAAUUUAAUUAAAGUUCCACCGUAUACGAGCACUCAGAUAUAAUAAAAGGAUAUAACAAUGGACAGGAAGAAUGAUUACACGUAUUCAAGUUAUUAUAAGACUCGUUUGACAAAGACUGUGUAUCCAUGUCAUCUGUCUCUAUGGACUGAUCAGAAUGCGAAGCACCUGAUUCCAUACGGGAUUCAUUAUCAAGUAUCAGAAACAUCAGAUUCAUCAUUACUGCUUGAGCUAGAAUCAUCUGGAGGUAUUACAUAGUUAACCCUCCGUCUUGGAUAACCUUUGACAGCUUUGCGUUCGGGCCAUUCAGCAAUGUCAGCAAGCCUUAUCUGAUCUGCAUGUACUUGAACA